UCAACUUUGAGAGGGAGGCUUGUGGUUAGAGCAGAGUGCGAUGAUGAGUGGCGCCGCAGAAGAGGAAAUCACGGAUAAAGGGGAAGAGGCAGUGAGAAGAGAAAGCUGGACAAUUAGACAUGAUGAGAGGGACUCUGAUUUCCCUUGCCCUGUGCCUUCCUCACCUUUUCCCCACUCUUGGCCUCCAUUCCACCAUUGCGGCUUCACCGAGCGCCACAGAAACCACAACAACAGCUCUAGACCUUAGUAUCAGCACUCCAACAUCAGACCCCCCGAUGCUUCCACUCUCCACAAUUGAAAACCACCCUGGUGGGACUAGUGGCACGUUCAAAACACAAUUGAAGAAAAGCACUAGCUUAGCAGCUGUCAACAACUCAGGCAGAACGACUCAAGGAAGAGGCAUUCUCAGAACAGGAACUGCCACUUACGCCACCACAGCCGUACAGAAGAGCAACAGGCACACAACUGCAGGAGACUUGAGGAAGGAAACAGAGAGCCACAAUCACCAUGAGACUCUUCCCUUCAGCAGACACACAGCCUCACCCACAACUGACCACCCCAGCACCACCACUCUCCCCAGGGAGGAAGGGACUGAGUAUCAUGACAGCAGCAACACUGAAAUAGCCAGAGAACUGAACACACCAAAUUCCAUAGAGACAUGGGCUGCUAACACCAGUAAUGACUCCAGGCUAGCGAAGCCACACUUAAACAGGUCACAAGCAGCAGACCAGCACACUGCUACACAAGGACUAGAGACUGCUUCAGGAGAUUACGACACAACAAAGAGAGACUUCUUCACAAUCACCCCAACUAGUAGAGUGACAGGUUUGAACAGAGGUAAACAAAGUAAGGCCAACAGCGUCGCAACAACAACGACGGAUUCACCUACGUACACAGUCACACGUCCUGGUUGGUAUGAGCACAUGACCGUGACUUACAGGGCUACUAGCUACAAAACACAACCUGACGACACAAGCCAGUCUAAGGACCACACCACAGCCACAGUUUCAAUCCCCCAUGCUGACAAUAGCACAACUCCAUAUAUCAAUGCAAACACAUUUACAGAUAAUGACACAGACAACUACACAAACACACUUUCAUACAGUAAUACCACAACCUCUAAUAAUUGUAACACAACAGUACAUUUGAAUAAGACAACUCAUCCUCGUUCACUCAGACACAACCACACAAUCUCAGGCCAUGACAACAGGCUGAACAACACAACUGAAAACAAUGUGCAUUAUCGUCCUGAGUGUGGAGAGGCAGAUGAAAGGUCCCCAUCAUUGCCUCCUGGCUCUACUAGACUGGUCUGUUUCAUCGUUCUGUGGGCUCUGGGAUUGACUGCUUCAGUCUUCCUUGGUCUCACUGUCUUCCUAUCGGUGCGUUUGUCAGUCCAGAGAGAGAGGGAAAGGAGAGCGAGGAGAGGAGGAGAGAAGGUGUCAGGGGUGGAUCUGGAGAACCUGUGGGUUGACCAGAUAUCAUCGGUGGAGGAGAGGGUGGAAUUCUGGUACGCCAACGGCUCCACCAUAGGACCUGACCAUAAACGGAGGGAGAGAGGGAGGGAGAGGGUGAAGGAGAGGGUGAGGAGGGAGCAGCGGAGGCAGAAAGGGAUAGAGUGUGACAACCUGUGGACUCAACCCAAAGUGACACUGGAGGACAUCACUGAUUUCUGGUAUGCAAAUGGAAGCGCGGUACCAGAAGAAACUACAGACCAAACAUUGUUGGAGACCUGCGUGUGAUUUAGUUUUUUGGUACUACAGUACUACAAUUUACCUGGAAUUACUUUGGAGAGAAGUGUUCAUACUUAGUUUACCAAUUCCAUGGCAGAUUUGAAAACUGUAAUCCUGACAGAGUUUAAACAUUUGCAAUAUGAAUUGAUAAUCUGUAUGUUUAUUGGCUAUAACAAAAGUAUAAGAUCUGCAUAAGUCUACUGAAAGACAGAUUAAGCCUGGGUCUGAUCAGAGAGAAAGAGAGAGAGGAAUAGAGAUAGAGAUUAGAACCACAUGUCGAACUGGAAAUAACACUUGAUAAGAGAGUUCCCAUUCUAAGACAAUUCAGACCUUGUUAGUGACAUCAUCGUCAUGUGUCAAACAGCAACGAGGAGAAAGGUGCCAUUUCUACAAACACACUGAGACAAAUACUAUUGACUCCUAAUACUGAACAUGCACUGUUAUCAGGAGCUAGUCAAAUAAAAAGGAUUGGUGAACUGCACUGGGCGUAAACAAUUUAGCUUAAUUUAUCUGACUGACCACGUUUACAUUCGUACUGUAUUCCAGAUAAUAGCUCAUAUCCUAGUUAAGGUCUUAUUAUAGAUAAGCUGUUUAAAUACACCUUUCAAAUCAAAUCAAAUUGUAUGUCACAUUCACGUGUUUAGCAGAUGUUAUGGCAGGUGUAGCGAAAUGCUUGUGUUUCUAAUUCCAAUAGUGCAGUAAUAUCUAACAAGUAAUAUCUAACAAUACACACAAUCUAAAGUAAAGGAAUGGAAUUAAGAAUAUAUAAAUAUUUGGACGAGCAAUGUCAGAGUGGCAUAGACUAAAAUACAGUAGAAUAUGAUAGAAUAUAGUAUUUACAUAUGAGAUGAGUAAUGCAAAAUAUGUAAACAUUAUUAAAGAUGCCAGUGCAGGGGUGGGGGAGAUGCUCCCGUGCUCCCGUGCUCCCUCAGCUGUUUCCUGAAGUCUGCGAUCAGCUCAUUGGUUCUGUUGACGUUACGUGAGAGGUUAUUUUCCUGGCACCACACUCCCAGGGCCUUCACUUCCUCCCUGUAGGUUGUCUCGUAAUUGUUGGUAAUCAGGCCUGCUAAUGUUAUGUGAUCUGCAAACUUGAUGAUUGAGUGGGAGGUGUGCGUGGCCACGCAAUCAUGGGUGAACAGGGAGUACAGGAGGGGGCUGAGCACGCAUCCUUUUGGAAACCCAGUGUUGAGGAUCAGCAAAGUGGAGGUGUUGUUUCCUACCUUCACCACCUGGGGGCAGCCCGUCAGGAAGUACAGGACCCAUUUGCACAGGGCGGGGUUCAGACCCAGGGCCUCGAGCUUAAUGAUGAGCUUGGAGGGUACUCUGGUGUUGAAUGCUGACCUAUAGUCAAUGAACAGCAUUCUUACAUAGAUAUUCCUCUUGUCCAGAUGGGAUAGGGCAGUGUGUAGUGCGAUGGGGAUUGUACAGUCUAUGGACCUAUUGGAGCAGUAAGCAAGUUGAAGUCGGUCUAAGGUGUCAGGUAAGGUAGAGGUGAUAUGAUCCUUGACUAGUCUCUCAAAUCACUUCAUGAUGACAGAAGUGAUUGCUACAGGGCGAUAGUAAUUUAGUUCAGUUACCUUUGCUUUCUUGGGUAGAGGAACAAUAGUGGACAUCUUGAAGUAUGUGGGGACAACCGACUGGGAUAGGGAGAGACUGACUAUGUCCGUAAACACACCAGCCAGCUGGUCUGCGCAUGCUCUGAUGACGCGGCUGGGGAUGCCGUCUGGGCCGGCAGCUUUGCGAGGGUUAACACACUUAAAUGUCUUACUGACGUCGGCCACGGAGAAGGAGAGUCCACAGUCCUUGGUAGCGGGCCGCGUCGGUGGCACUGUGUUAUCCUCAAAGCGGGCGAAGAAGGUGUUUAGCUUGUCUGGGAACAAGACAUCCGCGACGUGGCUCGUUUCCCCUUUGUAGUCCGUGAUUGUCUGUAGACCCUGCCACAUACGUCUCGUGUCUGAGACGUUGAAUUGUGGAGCCGUUGACUCUUUGUCUCUAUACUGACGUUUUGCCUGUUUGAUUGCUUUACGGAAGAAAUUGGGAAAGGGGGAUACCUAGUCAGUUGUGCAACUGAAUGCCUUCAACUGAAAUGUGUCUUCCACAUUUAACACAACCCCUCUGAAUAAGAGAGGUGCAGGGGCUGUCUUAAUCGACAUCCACGUCUUCGGCGCCCGGUGAAGGAAUAACUACACUGUUUGUAUUCAGCCAUAUUCCCAAUCACCUUGCGAGAAUGCGGGUUCUGGUUAUGGUAGGUUUUAAUAGUCACAGUGGGUACAACAUAUCCUAUACACUCCCUGAUAAUAGCAGUCACCGUAUCAGUGUAUUCGCCUAUGUUGUUCUCGGAGGCUACCUGGAACAUAUUCCAGAUUCUGAUUGGUCAGACCAGCGUUGAAUAGUCCUUAGCACGAGUACUUCCUCUUUGAGUUCCUGCCUAUAGGAAGGGAGGAGCAAAAUGGAGUCAUGAUCAGAUUUUCCGAAGGGAGUACGGGGGAGGGCCUUGUAGGCAUCCCGGAAGAUGGAGUAGCAGUCGUUGAGUGUUUUAGCAUCGCAGGUACUACAGGCAAUGUGUUGAUAGAACUUCGGUAACGUUUUCCUCAAAUUUGCUUUGCUAAAAUCCCCAGCUACAAUAAAUGUUGCCUCAUCAUAUAUGGUUUCCAGUUUGCAUAAAGUCCAGUGAAGUUAUUUGAGGGCCGUCGUGGUAUCGGCUUGAGAGGGAAUAUACACGGCUGUGACUAUAACCAAAGAGAAUUCUGUUGGGAGGUAAUACGGUUGGCAUUUGAUUAUGAGGUAUUCUAAGCUGGGGAAACGAAAGGACUUGAGUUCCUGUAUGUUAUCACAAUCACACCAUGAGUAAUUAAUCAUGAAACAUACACCCCUGCCCUUCUUCUUCCCAGAGAGAUAUUUAUUCUUGUCUGAGCGAUGAAUUGAGAACCCACUGGCUGAACGGACUCAGAGAGUAUAUCCCGAGAGAGCCAUGAGUAUGUUACAAUCCCUGAUGUCUCUCUGGAAGGAAAUCCUUGCCCUGAACUUGUCAACUUUAUAGUCCAGAGACUGAACAUUAGCGAGUAAUAUACUCAGAAUCGGUGGGUGGUGUGUGCGCCUCCUGAGUCAAACUAAAAGUCAGCUCCGAGUAUCUCUUUUCCGCCAGCGGAGUUUUGGAACAGCCUCUUGGAUCAGUUCAAUUGCCCUGAGGGCUACAAACAAAGGAUCUGAUUCCGGAAAGUCUUAUUCCUGGUCAUAAUGCUGGUGAGUUACCGCCGCUCUGAUAUCCAAAAGUUCUUCCCAGCUGUAUGUAAUAACACAAAACAUUUCUUGGGCUAAUAAUUUCAGAAAUAACAGAAAAAAUAUAUAUUAUACUGCAAAGUUUCCUAAGCACUUGAAGCACGACAGCCCUAUCCGUCUAUGCGCCGCUUACGAUUAUCCCUGUAUAAACAGAAUAUUACUACAUUUACCCAUGAUACUAUGCGAAACUGAGCCUGUACAAAUCAUGUAAAAAACAGUGAACGAAAUAAGAUGUUGGCAUGCCACAUUAUCCCGUCUACGAUCAGCAUAUCCCAGGCAUCUUAACUGGGUUUCUCAUAACUGGGAUAGAAGUUUUUUUUGGGUUAUUGUAAACAGGAAUACUUGAGUAUCCCAAAAUAAUAACGGAAUGUUGGUGUGCAUGUGAACAUGGUAACUGGAAUCGACUAUAGGCCUACCUCACAAUUGAUAAUGGAUCGGGCCAUUUGAUCAAUAAAGUAUAGCUGUAAAUACGGUAGAAAAUACCUGACCAGCUGAAGUUUGACAUAUAAUGUCCCAAGACGUGAAAACAACAUGGACUGACAUAAUAAAAUGGCAUUUUCAUCAUACUCUCUCUACUUUGAAUUCUCACGUUUUGACAACCUACGCCCUUUGACUGCCAGCUCCCCACACACACACACACACACAAACACAUGUGCAAACACACCCUGGCUCAAACAUUUCAACACACACACAGAUUCUUCGUAGGACCAACUUCUCCUUUUUCCUCAAGAAAAUAAGCACAUGACACAGUAAACAAAAGUAAGCUACUCUUAAGUUACUUGGCAUCUCUCCAACCCCAUCUAUCCACCUAUCUCUCUUUAGUAGUUAACAAAACUGUUUUACGAAGAAUUUGAUACUCUGAGGGGGAAGAGAUAGAGAGAACCAACUAGAGAGAAUAAGGGAGGGGUUAGAGAAAGAAGGGAGUGAAUAGGAGGGAGGGACGGAGGAAGAGAGCGAGAGAAAGGUGUUUCAUACAUGCACUUGUGCAGGAGACGUCAUCCACACAGUACAGGAGUUAAAACCUAUGCCUUUAUGGUGGAUUCAUAACUUCAACCCAACCGUUCUCUCCAAGCAACAUGUGGGCCUCGUGACUUUUUUGGUUCACCGUUGCUGCAAUCUCUCGCCCUGCACCUGAAAUAGACAGCUGAUACACAGAAAAGUAGAGUGAAGCGCAAGGGGAGGAGAAAACGGAAGAGCGAGAGAGGAAGAGAAGGGCUGUGUCUUUCCGGCCUAUUUGCACACAAGUGCACCCUAGUGAACCACAAGCCCAGCAACCAGGAGAGACAGCAAGAGAACAAAAGUUUGACUACGUCAAUUCACUUCAAAUGCUUAACACUCAGUCAAACCUUAGAUUGGUUAACAAGAGCAAGGCCUGAAAGAAAGGGACAAUCCGAGAGCAGUGAAGAUCAAAGCCUGACACUCAAUUGUAGUCAAACCAAGAACCCCGGUACCUGAUGACGGAUACCGCUAUUCUUUUCUAGAGUGUACAUUAUUCUGCUCUAGACUUGUACAACAAACCUCCAAUACCUUUCAAGCCACAAGGCUGUCGCUGACGCACCUCAGAGAGAGGAAGACAAACGUCCUCUGAGAGAGGUCAGCAAAACCCUUUUAGUGACUGUUGACCUCCGUGACCCCUCUCAGUUCUUGCCCAGUAUGGAGUGGGUACGACUGACGCUCGGGGCUAUGCUCCUCUCCCUCUCUCUGCCCAGUCUCCCUGCCCAAGAUAAUAUCACCGUACCUGAAUAUAGCAGCAUGGCAACACCUACUAAUGACGACGGCACGAUGGCAGCCUCUUCACCUGAGGCCACCACCAAGACAACGACUGCUCCUGUGGCCGUCACUACAGCACAGCCGGUCACUGAAAUCACCCUGGUAACUUCUGUUCCAGUACUUGCCAUAGAUGCCCUCACUAUAGUAACAGACCCUGAGAUCACAACCGUUCAGGAGCCCACCUCUGAUGCACCAACUACUACUACAGAGGCUGAGACGAUGACACCAUCCCCUGUGAUCACUGAAGGGCCUGUAGAUACGACCACUUCACCUGGCCCUAAACCCAUCACCUCCCAAGACAUCCUGACUACAACCUCUUAUCUCCCAACCACAUCCCAGGACCACCUGACUUCUGUUAUCCCAGUCUGGCCCCUCCACACCACCCCUCGUCUGACGAAUGACUCCUUUCCUACACCUGAACCUAUCCACACUGCCUCAGAGAGUACUGCCAGCCACACAGAGGGACUUACCCCUGCACCCGCCUCCCCAUCGGUCAACAGCGCUCCCAGCCAUUUUACAAACCCCGCUACGACCUACACCUCCACAGAUCCAGACUCUAUGGUGGGCAGGGUCAAGGAAAGGCCGCUCAGCUUGUUCUGGGUCAUCAUUGUCAGUCUCCUGGUCUGUGUUAUAUGCCUGGGAAUGUUCUACUGCAUAUAUCUGGGCGUCAGACGAAAGAGGCAGUGCCGCACCGAGUACUUUGGGUCCAGCGUCCAGAACGGGAAGAGUUCCAAGCGGAAGAAAGGAGCAGAGGAUGAUGCCUGGGCGGGGCCAGUGAAGCUAGGGGGCGGGGACAGGGAGGAGGGUGAGGGCGGGGAGGAGGGAGGGAGCCCAGAGGACAACAAGAGAGAGGGGGCUGGAACAGAUGUGGUGCUGAGCACAUUCAUAGCCAACGAGACUGAGAGAGAGAGGGGUGGGCCUGAUGGGGCAGUUGGAGUGGCUGGGAGCAAGGAGGCGGAGAAAUGGGAGGAGAAGGAGCCUCUGUUGUACAUUGAUGAGGGAGUGGAGGAGGGGCUGGAGAAAAUGGAUUCUCCUUCACUUUCAAAAUCUAACUCUGAGAAAAAGAUAGGAGGGGGCAACAGAGAGGGGGAAAGUGAAAAAGAGAUGGAGAGGGGAGAAGUGAAUGGAAAGAAAGAAAAUGAGAGUGAAAGAGGUGAGCAGAAUGGAGGAGCGUCAUUCUGUCUGACCACUGCAGUUUAAAAAUUGAACAGUUUUCCAUAUUUUUUAUUUUUUUACAGGUGAUAAUUGUAAAGGUUUCUAAUAUUUUUGUAAUACUGAAAAGGCCUUUAACAUCGUAUUGAUCUGUGAUUGUGUGUUCUAUCAACAUAACUAAUGGUUGUGUGUAUAGCCAUACGUUUUACCAGUUGUAUUUUGUAUGGUGUUUUUUCUUAACCGUUUUCAGCUUAAUAAAGUUUUAGGAUGUGGAGAGAAUG